GAGGAACUCUUUGAGGCCGAGGAGGAGCGGGAGGAGGAGGAAGAGGGGGCUGGGCUCGCCGCUGAAGGGGCCGAGGAGUCGCCGGCAGCAGGAGCAGAGGCGGAAAGCGCCGAGGUGCCUGCAGCCGCUGCAGAAAGCGAAGGCCAGCACAGCUCCUCUGGGCAGAGCAGCUUGCCAGGCUCUUCGCGGGAGGGGGGAAAUCCUUCCCCCCGGAAGAGAAAGCUCCCGCGCGAAGAGGAGAGCGAUGCGCAGCCCAGCAAGCGCAGGAGGAGCCUGGAGCCAGG